AGUGAACGCUGGCGGUAGGCCUAACACAUGCAAGUCGAACGGCAGCACAGUAAGAGCUUGCUCGUACGGGUGGCGAGUGGCGGACGGGGGAGGAAUACAUCGGAAUCUACUUUUUCGUGGGGGAUAACGUAGGGAAACUUACGCUAAUACCGCAUACGACCUACGGGUGAAAGCAUGGGAUCUUCGGACCUUGUGCGAUGGAAUGAGCCGAUGUCGGAUUAGCUAGUUGGCGGGGUAAAGGCCGCCCAAGGCGGCGGUCCGUAGCUGGUCUGAGGGGAUGGUUCGCCACCACAGAGGUACGGAGACGCGCCCAAGACUCCUGGGGGCGGCAGUAGGGGAUAAUAGGGCAUGGGGGGAGGCCUCAUCCUGCCCCGCCGCCGCGGGAGAGAAGGCCUUCGGGUUGUAAAGCCCUUUUGUUGGGAAAGAAAAGCAGCAGGUUAAUACCCCGCUGUUCUGACGGUACCCAAAGAAUAAGCACCGGCUAACUUCGUG
rnacentral:rRNA from 1 species